rnacentral:rRNA from 1 species
GACGAACGCUGGCGGCGUGCUUAACACAUGCAAGUCGAACGCUGAAGCUCAGCUUUUGUUGGGUGGAUGAGUGGCGAACGGGUGAGUAACACGUGAGUAACCUGCCUCCUUCUUUGGGAUAACGCCCGGAAACGGGUGCUAAUACUGGAUAUUCACUGGUCUUCGCAUGGGGGUUGGUGGAAAGGGUUUUUCUGGUGGGGGAUGGGCUCGCGGCCUAUCAGCUUGUUGGUGGGGUGAUGGCCUACCAAGGCUUUGACGGGUAGCCGGCCUGAGAGGGUGACCGGUCACAUUGGGACUGAGAUACGGCCCAGACUCCUACGGGAGGCAGCAGUGGGGAAUAUAGCACAAUGGGCGCAAGCCUGAUGCAGCGACGCCGCGUGAGGGAUGGAGGCCUUCGGGUUGUGAACCUCUUUCGCUCAUGGUCAAGCCGCAACAAUGGUUGUGGUGAGGGUAGUGGGUAAAGAAGCGCCGGCUAACUACGUG